GGCCCGCACAAGCAGUGGAGCAUGUGGUUUAAUUCGAUGCAACGCGAAGAACCUUACCAGGCCUUGACAUCCUGCGAAUCUCUUGGAAACGAGAGAGUGCCUUCGGAACGCAGUGACAGGUGGUGCAUGGCUGUCGUCAGCUCGUGUCGUGAGAUGUUGGGUUAAGUCCCGCAACGAGCGCAACCCACGUCUUUAGUUGCCAGCAUUUAGUUGGGCACUCUAGAGAGACUGCCGGUGAUAAACCGGAGAAGGUGUGGAUGACGUCAAGUCAUCAUGCCCCUUACAUCUGGGCUACACACGUACUACAAUGCUACGGACAAAGGGCAGCAAGUUCGCGAGGACAAGCAAAUCCCAUAAACGUGGCUCAGUUCAGA
rnacentral:rRNA from 1 species